GUUUCUAUAUUAACACGAAUUAAACAAAAAACACCACAUUUGACACAAUGUAAAGGAUAUUGGUGGCUUGGCGUUACAAUAUAAACACUUCUAGGCUGUUAAAAUAUCACAUUUGACAGUUGUUUGUAAUGUUUUUCACUUUAAAUCAGACUUUCUGAUUGAUCGAUUUAGUUUAGGUAAAACAUGUCAUUUUCUAACAUAAAAAAACAAAUAUCAACUUUAUCUGUACUGUUAAUUUUGUUUUUCAAUGGUGUCAAAUCUAACAAUAUUGAUCACAUUCUAUGUUUUGUUUCAGACUACGAAGAUACUUCAUCAUGGAUGCAAAUGUGACUCCCGAGGUAAAAGAUCUCCAUAACAAAAUGGUGUACAACAUAAGUACCAAGAUUUUCGGAGUAAAGUUGAAGGCAGUAAAAGCACUAUUUACGGAUAAUCCACUGAGUCCAGCCGAUAUAGCUGGGAUUAAAGACAUCCAAUCACUCUUCAAAUGUCUAAUGGAUUACGAAACAAUUGAUUAUGGAGAUUACCAAAAGUUUGUAUCUAUGAUCAGGUACAUACAUCCGCGCGUAUGUUCAAUGGUACAGAAGUAUGCUGAGGAAAUCGAAAAACUGCAGGGUAACCUAGACAACCAAGAAAUCCAUCCUGACUUAAAACCCAUGAUAGGUGAGUCUUAUCUACUGGAUUGGGCAUGGUUAGAGAAGAAAUGCAGCAGAUUUCCUCAAAACUUGGACCAAAACAACAGGCAUCAUCUAAAGAUAUAUGAAAGAAGUCUUUUACUUCUGUUUGAACAAGAAUCUUGGUUCACCAAAAGAGAAGUCUUGAUAUCCAGAUGCAUCCCCAAUCCGAUUAAGUUUAUUCCUCCUCUGUUCCUAUACACUAUGGUAUAGGAUUCAACAAUAAGUACAUAACAGGUUAUGUUCUGGUUAAUGCUAUUGCAGCCAAUCUUUGAAAUGCCCUUCCAAACAGUUUCAAUAUUUCAAGUACUUGUAUAAUUGAUCAUAACUUCUGUAUUGAAUCAAAGGUUACACCAGAUCAUAUGACCUGUGAUGUCAUGUCAUCAGAUCUUACACCACAGAUAUUGUAGAGGAACAGAACGGAAGCUUCUUUUUUUUUAUUCAGAUUUGAUUUAUAAGCUCAUCUGGAACAAAGUACCAGUGUGAACUAAUGUGGUGGUGCUUCAUCUGUCGUCGUCCCUGUCGUCCAUCAAAUUUCAUGUUCAAUGACAUCUCCUCCCUAAAUAUCAGACAGAAUUUAACCGAAUUCUAGCAUUUCUAGGCCAAGGCGAUCAAAAGACUUAGAAUGUAGUGGCUGACCCCUUACCGGCGUGCUGAGAGACUGGGACCAAAGGACUUAAAUUUUCUGACUUGCAUUAAAUGACGUCUUCUUAUACAAUUAUCCCCCAGAAACGAAGUAAGGGGGUAUACUGGAAUCACCCUGUCCAUCCGUCCGCAGUGAUUUGUCCUGAAAACUCCAUUUUAACUAACACGCAGAUUUUAUUGAAACUUCACUUAAAUGACCUGUUUAUUAUGUACUUGUGCAUCGGCAUUUUAAUUUCAUAUCGCAACACUUUUAUAAGGGAGUUACGGCCCUCUAUGCGAAAUAACAUGUCCGGAAACCCAAAGGUCAAGGUCACUUAAUGAUGUAUAAACUACCAGCAUCUGCGGGUAUAAGUUAUCCUCCAGAUGACAGUUCUAGUUAAUUACUGUGUAGAUACCAACCAAAUUGUAGUGGUAGCAUACUUAACUCAUUGGGAUAAUAAGUAUAAAAUAAAAGAGCUGAAACCUUGGGGGUUGAUGGUUUUGAUUAAAAGGGGUCAAAUUUGAAGAUUUUCUUUAAAUGACAUCUCUUCCUUGGGAAGGCUUUAAAUAAAUUGUUGUGAUAGUGUCUGUGGCCCAUGGGGGUCUAAUGUAAUACAAAUAAAGGGUCUGCCUUUCUUGGGGCUCUGGACCCAAACUACUCAGCACAUUUCAAGUUGAUUCCCCAGGAAUAGCCAGGUGAGCGAUUCAAGACCAUUGGGCCUUUUAUUCUGUAAUGACUAAGUUACUUCAUUCAUGAGGCAUUGGAUUGUUACAGAGGUCUUUUUUUUAAUACAAUGCUUUCACUAGGGUUUGAACCCAGGACCACUGACUUACUAGUCUGACCUUCUGCUGAUUGGGCUAAAAAGAUAUUCUCUAAAGCUUAUUCAGCAGCAUGCCAGAUCAGUAAAACAGAGGACCCAGGGUGAUUUCUAGCAGAAGCAUAUUAUUGGAACAUAGCAUAAUGUAAUGUUGAAAGCAUUCCAGUGAUUAAUUUUAUUUGACAGCUUAAAAUUAUAUGUUUUGUGUUGUCAUACUAAAUGUAUUUAUGACAUCAUGAUCAUAUAUAUUUAUCAACACACUUUUGAUUAGAAAUGGUAAAACCUUUAGUAUUUUAAAAAUAAGUCAAUCAAGUUAACUAACCACCAAUCAUUGGGUAAAAUAUAUGUUACAUAUCAUGACAAGGUUUCUUGUCUGAGCUUGAAACAUAAUUUGGUCAUUUUAGCUGAGUGAGUAUUUGAGCCUUAUAUAAUGGCAGUUAUUGCCAUCUUUUGUGUUAUCUUAACCGGUUACAUAUUUUUUCUUUGAUUGGUAAAAGAUCAGUUGAUUUAUUUUUUGAUACUACCACUAAUUCACUCAUUAUACUCUUCCUUUACAAAUUAUUCUUCACAGUAUUCUAAAGUAAAUUGGAAAUGAUUCUCUGACUUAUAGAUUUAAUAGGCAUAUUGGUUUCAUUCUAUCAUAUCGAUUUCAUAUAAUUAAGACUUUUCCGCCAAUAUUUCUUUUUUUAUAUACAGGAACAACCAAAGCCACGAUCAAAAAAGAAAAAGAGGAGAAAAAAUUCUACCCCACCAAAGGUUUCUGUGAUGCUAAAGACAAGCUCCAAAAGAACAGGGUUGUUGUCAUCAAGGGAAAUACGGGAGACGGUAAAACAGCAAUCGCCGUUCAACUCCUUCAUUGGCUGAG